GUCGAUGAAGCUGCCGGGGCGGUACGAGGGUGUCCCCCGGGGGUCGUCAGCUGUUGGUCACGUGACGGCUUCACUCCGUGGCCGCAGCCGCGGCUGGCAGCUCACGUCACUCCAUGGGUUCCCACCUGGGCCGCCUCCUCGGACGACUGCUACGGGGACCCAGCGUUGCCGCUGCGCCCGAGCCUGUCCACGAGAAAGGCGGCCUGUCCACCUUGAUACACAUGUCGGCUCUGCGCCCGCUUGUCAUAUGUGGGCCAUCCGGUAGUGGGAAAUCGACACUGCUCAAGAAGCUGCUGAAAGACUUCGGCGAUUAUUUCGCCUUGAGUGUGUCGCAUACCACCCGAAAACCCAGGCCCGGUGAAGUGAAUGGCAAAGACUACCAUUUCAUAUCGCGGGACGAAAUGGAACAGGCAAUCGAGGCGGGUGAAUUCAUCGAGUACACGGAGUUUUCGGGAAACUUGUAUGGCACAAGUAAGAAAUCCGUACGUGAUGUCCAAGAGCAAGGGCGAAUCUGCAUCCUCGACAUUGAAAUUGAGGGUGUGAAGAACAUCAAGAACACAGAUCUGAAUCCCCGCUACAUCUUCAUCAAGCCUCCAAGCAUGAAGGCCCUUGAAGAACGGCUCAGGGGUCGGGGCACUGAAACCGAGGAGAGCUUGCAUAGACGCCUGGCAAGAGCUAGUGAGGAGAUUGCCUAUGGCGAAAACCAGGGCAACUUUGACCUUCUGCUAGUCAAUGACAACCUCAAGAGUGCGUACAACAGACUCCGAGAUUACCUUAUAAAGGAGGCAUUCACCAAGCUGCCAGAGUUUGUGACCAUCAGUGAGGAUUCAGCACCAUCCUUAUGAUCUGAUGGAUGCCAACACCUGAAGGACAGUUUGUGUGGAAUAGAGUACGCGACCCCAAAAGCUGCCAACGCAGCAGAACAUUUUACACUUUCUCAGAGAAAGUGAACUGUUCCCGCUGUGGCUUCAGAACCAAAAGAACUGUCCACUUGUGUGUAACUGUGAUUUUCCACAAUUGUAAUGCUUAGGUAUGUUGGCAUUGCUUCUGCAUUACCAAACUUGUCAUGUCGCUCUCACUGGUGAUAUUGUGAACUGCCAGAUGGGUCGGACCACUCCUUCUGUUUUUAUGUACUUGUCACAAAAAAUUGUUCGCUUUUUACCAUUGACCCUACUCAUUGUAAGAUAUGAGCAAAGCUUGUUUGUUAUCUGCAUUAUGAGUCUGGUAAAACAUUUAUUUAUUUUUUUUCCAUCGUGCACUGGCUUAGUGCUGUAAUAUUGUUCUGCUCUUGCAACUUGUUCAUCUAUCUGCACAUCAUCGCUUGUAUUUGUUGCUUUUCUCGUUUCACUUUCUGCUUCUCUGUUGCUGUGUCGUUGCUACAUGUUCAGACGUGUAUGAACAAAAUAAAUAUUUAAAUGUGUCACGAUGAAAAUUUGAUUUUGUCUUUGCGUCCAGUCAUUUAAAAUUGCACAGGGCAGUUGUGCACUUUGUACUCUUGACUACCAUGAUUGGUUUAAGCACUCCUGGCUUGCAGAGCAGUUACAGUUUGUACCCAACUGGCGGACUUGACGCACUUUAGCUGCUUGCUUAGCAGUUUUUUUUUUUCCCCUCUUCAUCUUGCAGUAAUUAUGCUUCCUGGCUUGGUCGAAACAUUUCCAAGGCUGACCUCAUGUUAAGUUAUAUGCACAGUAUUGUUUCAUUCAUGUGACGUGUGCAGCGGCACUUGUCUACCAUUUGGAGGACAGUGUUGGACUUUCUUCAUAAAAGAAGCUUUGUGAAGACAGCCUAUCGAAGUGCCAGUUGUACUGACGACACAAGCAGUUGUGGAAUCAUUGGUGCACAUUUACUAAGUUGUCUGCAUUUUUCUGGUAGCUGGCUAGGUUUCGGACAACUUGAUGUUCACUGGUCCUUCAGUUCACCGCCUUGCACAAGUGUCUAGUCUGCUUUUGCUAGUUUGUCUCCAGCAAAUAGAAUAAUCUGUGGGUUAUCCAGAUAAGUGUGGCUACUUAUAUAGAGCAUUCCAAUACACUGUAUACUAAAUCCAGUACACAUUGUGAUAGUAUAGACAUUUUCACAGAAGGCUCUCUGGCCACUGCCAUAAUCCACUUUGGGCAAAGCUAAAUAGGCGUAACCCCCCAAAAAUGCACUGCCGAGGCUGUGACAUCAGCCUUUGUACUCCCGUGCCACAGCCCAGAGAGAUGUUUCUUCUCUCCUGUGAAAAUUUCUAUAGCUGGGUAUAAAUAGGAAGAGCAUGGCAGCACUGAUUUGAAAGGGCCUAUUUUCUUGGCAUCCCCUCUCAAAUCAUUCUAGUAAGCCAAAUUUGGCAGUUCUGGCAAAUGCCACUGCAGCACAUUGACAGCUUGUGAAUGCUUCCUUUGUACACUUGAAUCCCAUACUAUGAAAUGAUCUGUGCAGCAGUUCAUCUCUACAUUCUGUAGUGUUCAGGUUAAUAAAGUAGUGCAAUAUUUCGUGGUAAAGCAACAUUAUAACAAAAAAAAUCAAUAGGUAGGCUAGUUGGUGCUGUAUUAACGGGCCCUGCAAUACCUUUUCAUGGUCGGAAAACGCUGCCAAUCGGUGGUCAAGGCUCCUGAAAACACGCGAGCCAAACAUUACACAGCACGCGGCGUGGAAUUUACAAUCGAGUCUCAGUCUGUUGGAAACCGCUCUUUUCUCUACAAAGGAUGCCAUAUACCCAAAUUGCUGCACCAUAUACCCAGUGUCCACAGCUGUUGGCUGAUUUGAGCAUCAUGAGCUGCAUAGUUACCGUGGCCGCCGCAAGAUGCUGCCACAUGCCCGCCUGCGCGUUCGCGAUCACACUGAAAGUAAGCUGCGCGUUCAAAGAAAAAAUGCAAAGAACAUACUCAAGGUCAUGAAGCACACUGACGAAGGGACGCAUCUUCUUGUCCCCUUGUCAUCCCCUCCCUGCGUAGCUUUCAGUGUGCUCGCUGGUACAAAAAGAAAGCGCUUGAAGCAUGCGGCAAAUCCCUGUAACUCCACUCAUACUUGACGGAUUCUAAAAAUUUUUGUUGCAGUCGAUUCAUGAGGUAAUAAGCUUUUAAUGAAGCCAUUAUAUGAUUACUUGGAAAAGUGUUGCAGGGCCCCUUGAAAGAGCUCGUUUUCGCGGAAAUUCUGGUGUUGGUGUUGUUGGUUGUGAGCGGAAAAUCAGCGUUGUCCGUGAGCAAAAAGUCGAGAGAUGCAAAUAAAAUAAGAAUUUUCGGUUCGAGUCAGAACAGGACCCAGGCCUUCUGAGCGGCAAGCAGGUGUACCACAGAGCCACACCAUUGCUUGAAACUACUUCUGAAAAAAACGCUAUAUGAAUGUCAUGUAGUGGGAGGAGCCUCCUCAACACGUGUAAUAUUGCGUGGCAGAAACGUAGAAUCGCGCCAGAGGUCAAGACAUGUGAAUUGUGCAAAGAGUGGCUGUUUUAAAAGGCCCACUCAUUUCAAAGCUUUCGGACAUAUUUAAUCAUCAUCAGCAGCAAGCUCGCCAAAAGUGGGCAGCUGCGUCGGUUCACGUGUUGCCUUAGGGGAGUUUUUGAAACCAUCUGAAGCUUUUGGUGUCAACGCUCCCUUAAUCUCGCAGUGGCAAAUAACCUAGUGGCUGCUAGACAUCCCCUGUGAACGUGAUGAUUUAAUAUGCGUGAUUGCCCGAGCUCUAUGUUCUGUAUAUGUACAUGAUUCAGUAAAAAGCUUAUAGGAAUAGUACCACUCUUCACAAGAGUGUGUGCAGCAGGCAUUACUGAAAUAGGCUGCAGGGAGCAGGUGGCCCCGGCACCAUGAAAACAUUGUAUAGGCGUUUGUGAAUGAAUAAAUGCAUUGUGUUAAAGGGCCACUCACCAGGCCAACAAAUAAGCUCAUGAGACGCAGUGGCGAUCGAUUAUGUCUGCUAAGUAUGCAACUGCUGUGUGGCGUGAAGCCGACUGAAAUUUCAAACAGAUAUUGCCACUCUUUUUGAGGAAGCCACGCCUUGAGGCCACAGUAAGAAAUGCACUAUGCAAGAUGCACUGAUUGUUAUGUCGCUGACCAUAGCAUGCGACUUCAGUUCAUCAUUUGAUUCAUUCCAAACAAUGCCACCACUUGAAAUGUGCCGUGAAGCAAAAUAGAAAAAGGAAAACAAACAGAAUGCAGGACUUGUCACGUGAACAUGAUGCGUUCCCUCUGCUUUGGUACUUGAGAGAACUCAGAAAAGGAAAGCUGCUUGCAGAUGCUAGCCAUGGCAGAGUGAGAGAGCUUUUGCUGACGGUUGCACUUGCCUCUUAGAGGCUAGGUAACGGGACCAUUAAAUUUCUCCUAACUCCUACAAUAAUGAACCAAUUUGAAAAUUAUUAUGAUAAAGAGCGCUCUAGAGGGCUUCUAAUGUGCGACCAAAUUAAUGAGGUUGGUAAGGAGCCCUGUAAAAAACCAUAAAAUAAACAUGUAAUCUUUAGACGAUGUAUUGCAGUGUUAAGAAUGUGUUUUGUUGCAGGUAUAAAUAAAAUUGUUAGUUUGUGAGAAUGCAUACAUAAAACAUGAAAUCCAGUCUACACAGUAUAGGUAUUGUCAUGUUUGUACCUUCUUUGUUCUCUUCUCCCUCCCCCGCUCUGUGUUCUGCAUUUAAAGGGGCCCUGCAACACUUUUCCAAGUAGCCAUUGAAUGGCUUGACUAAAGGAACUUAUUGCCUCACGAAUCAAACGCCGCAGAAAUUUUUAGAAUCCGUCCAGUACGAGCGGAGUUAGUUUUGUCUCACGCUGUAAUUGCUUUCUCUUUUCUCUCGCCCCGAAGAAAGCGCUGGAAGCUAAGCGGGAGGGGGGGGGGCAUGGGGAAAGAACGUACAUCACGCGCGCCUCCUGACUUUGAGCACAUUUUCUUUUCUUUUUGUUUUGUCUUCGAACGCUUGGUGUAUUUCAGUGCAAUCGCGUGCGCACACAUAGUCGAGUGGCGGCCUCUCGCAGCGGCCACAGUAACAACCGAGCGCGCUAUCUUCAAAUCAGCCAAUGGCAUGGAAACUGCCUGUGGCGCUGUAAGCAUAAUUUUUUGUCGAGAGAACAGGAAGCGCUUUUUAGCUGACUUUGCAAAUUUAUUGUAAAUCCCAGGCCGCGUGCUGUGCUAUAAUGUUUGGCUCGCGUGUUAUUGGGAGCCUCAACUAGCAAUCGGCAGCGUUUUCUGACCAUGCUGAAAAAGUGUUGCAGGGCCCCUUUAAUUGUGUUGCCAGAAGUGAAGUCUGAUGCAGUAGCUUUUAGCUGUGGUUGUUUCUAUGGCAGUUAUGUAGGCACACAUUAUGCCUUUUACAUCAUUAUCCUUGUUUUUUGGCUUCCUGUUAUAAUUUUAUUGACCCAUAACUGCAGCUGACAUGAGAUCAUCCAAUGCAUGUCAGUGUUGUGGAGCAUGCUUAAUAAUGCUGAGACAAUGUAAUGCAUGGGGACUAAUUGCCCUACAAACUUUUGUGCUUGUCUGAUUUUGGGGAAUGUUCUUUUUCCAACACUUGCACUUGCAUGUCUUGGAGCACCUUGAUUGAAACGGAACUUUUUUUUUUUUUUUAUGGUAUAGGAGUACAGUAUGGGUUUCUCUAUUAUCCAGGAAGUGGAGGAGCUUCAGAAGAAGCCAAAGAUCUAGUCAC